rnacentral:rRNA from 1 species
GGUCCAGACUCCUACGGGAGGCAGCAGUGAGGAAUAUUGGUCAAUGGGCGCGAGCCUGAACCAGCCAAGUCGCGUGAGGGAUGACGGUCCUACGGCUUGUAAACCUCUUUUGCCGGGGAGCAAGCGUGCGUUCGUGAACGCGCGUCGAGAGUACCCGGAGAAAAAGCAUCGGCUAACUCCGUGCCAGCAGCCGCGGUAAUACGGAGGAUGCGAGCGUUAUCCGGAUUUAUUGGGUUUAAAGGGUGCGUAGGCGGGAUGCCAAGUCAGCGGUAAAAAUGCGGUGCUCAACGCCGUCGAGCCGUUGAAACUGGCAGUCUCGAGUUGGAGAGAAGUAUGCGGAAUGCGCGGUGUAGCGGUGAAAUGCAUAGAUAUCGCGCAGAACUCCGAUUGCGAAGGCAGCAUGCCGGCUCCACACUGACGCUGAGGCACGAAAGCGUGGGGAUCGAACAGGAUUAGAUACCCCGGUACAG